ensembl:lincRNA
UCAUUCCCGCAGCUCCCCCAGCUCCCCCAGCUCCCCAGCUGGCCCCCGGGUCUGGGUGCUGGGGGAACUGAGCCAAGACCAUUGCCCCCACCUAGGUUGGGAGGCUAUGUGUGACUGGAAGGAUGUCCUGCCGGGUGGCGAGAAGCAGAGAAUCGGCAUGGCCCGCAUGUUCUACCACAGGCCCAAGUACGCCCUCCUGGAUGAAUGCACCAGUGCUGUGAGCAUCGACGUGGAAGGCAAGAUCUUCCAGGCGGCCAAGGACACAGGCAUUGCCCUGCUCUCCAUCACCAACUGGCCCUCCCUGUGGGAGUACCACACACACUUGCUACAGUUCGAUGGGGAGGGCAGCUGGAAGUUCGAGAGGCUGGACUCGGCUGCCCGCCUGAGCUUGACAGAGGAGAAGCACCGGCUGGAGCAGCAGCUGGCGGGCAUUCCCAAGAUGCAGCGGCACCUCCAGGAGCUCUGCCAAAUCCUGGGCGAGGCCGUGGCCCCAGCGCACGUACCGGCACCUAGCCCGCAAGGCCCUGGUGGCCUCCAGGGUGCCUCCACCUGACGCCACCAUCCCCAGCCCCUGCCCCGCCCCCAAGCUCGAAUCACAUGAAGGAGACAGCAGCACCCACCUGCGCACACACCCCUCCCCUGCAUGCCUGGCCCCUCGUCCUAGAAGACCCUUCCCGACCUCGGGAAAGUAGAUGUGGAGGGUGGCGCCCUGCGUAACCCUCGCCCUGUCCCUCUCACUCCCUGGGGGGGCUGUUCCACAGUGACUGGGCCCUGUCCAGGGCAGUGAGUCCUCUACUUUGCUCCAUGGAGGAAGCUGGGGUACAAGGGGCCCAGUGCUGGCCACACAGCAGCGCAGCCGAGCCCCAGGAGCCCCUCAGGCCACAGCCCCUGGCGCUGCAGAUGGCCUCCCUCCUCGUCAGUCUCUCAAAGACCCCACGGUCCAUCCCCUAAGGGUGGCCAGCCAAGGCUCCCAUCCCAUGCGAUGCCAUAAAAGCCGCCCAGUUGUACCCACGGUCACACAGAGCGCCUCACCUGCAUCCUCUCCCCCACAAGAGCCCCGAAGAUCCCACGGGAGAGGGACGCACAGCACUGCCUGCGGAGCGAGAAUGUAGUCCCCGCCCCCUCAGCCCCUCACCUUCUCUUUCUACAGCCUAAUUUAUUGGAUUCCCUAUUCGUAGCCAUCUCUGUGGCCAAUGUGACUACCCUGCCAGCAGCGGGGGCAGCCCAGCCUCUGAGUCCCCUGGGUCCCCUGCUCCCACCAGUGCCAAACCCAGCCCCUGUGGGUGUCACCCCGCCAGCCUACACUACCAGCCGCCACCUGGCCACACGGGCCUCUGCUUGCUAGCCGGGAGUGCGGACACCAUGUUCCCAGCUCAGUGCCAAACAGGGGUCACCAGGGGGAGCUGUCUGCAGAGCCAGCGCCUGCCCGAGAGAGACCCCACCGCCACUGUGUGCCUUUCCCGGGCCCUCAGCCCUCAGGCCGGGCGCCAUCCCGAGUCCCCCCAGUAAAAGCCUCCAUUGGCAAAUGCAGUCCUUCCUCCCUGCCU